rnacentral:lncRNA from 1 species
AAAAUUGAAGAGAGAGUUGAGAUAGGUUUUUUAAAUGACAAUUCAUGCCCUUGCACAAAAAGCAACACGUAUUUAUUAAAACCCUCCACCACCACCACGGCCUAUCCUCACCACUCCUCCACCACUACCACCACCACCUGUCAACCACUAAUCAGAGCCUUCACUACCUCAGAGUCUCUCCAACUAAUACCACCUCCCAAACCUCUACCUCAAACUCCAUUUCCUCAUCCGCUCUCCUCCUCUCAUCUUGCACCUUAGCCUUCUCUUCAGCCGAGGAAGCAACAGCGGAACAUUGAAGACAUAAGCGUUGUCUCUGCAUCGAACCUCCACUCCAUGGGAUAAGGGUGUUUGGCAAGUUGAUUAAGAAUUGAUUUUGUUUGGCCAGUUAUGGAACGAGGGAAGUUGAAAACCAGAUUUUGUAACGUUGUUUUUACAUAUAUCGUGAGUGAUUUUUAUGUGGGUGAUUUGGCUGUUAUUGGUGUGAUUUGUUUAUCUUCAAUGUUAAUGUUCGAUUCAAAAGACUCCAUUUUUAUUUUCAGGGUUUGAAUUUUUAGAUUUUGAUUUGAUUUUAGCCUUUCUCAACAAAGCAUGUAUCGUAAUAAAGUAAUUAACUCGUGUAAUGCCGCGGGCUUUAUCUAGUUAAUUAUAAUUUAUAAUGAGUUACAUCAAUCUUUU